GGAACUACAUGAUCCUUGAGGUCCCUUCCAACCCGGGUGAUUCUGUGAUUCUGUGAUUCUGUGAUUAAGCUAAUAAACUCUGAUCACCUGCAAGAGGCUUUCUGAGAAAUAGCAAUUAUAAUAUGGUGUUGCGUAACUAAUUUUUCUGUGGUUGUUUUGUUCCUGAUUUGCCUACAGUAGGCAGGACUUGGCACCUCAGUGAGUUUAUAGUGCUUUAGGAAACAUGCAUUACAUACUUUAAUUACAUAGACACGUUUUACAUAUGGACUUGUAUUACUCACUUCCACCACUCUGUUUUCAGAGAAACUGGUGAGAUCCAGAAGCUCACUAGAUCUCUGUACUUUUUUGUUACAAUAAUGUCUGGAUUCUCAGUUCCCAUUUAGUUGUGAUGGCAGUGCAGUGUUUGGGAAGCAUGCAGCCAGCUGACUUGUUCUUCUCGAUCUGGGUUUUGUCUCACGGUGGUCGUGUUUUUACCUUUGUAUAAUCAGUAGUCUUCAUUAGGGAGGAAGUCUUGUGAAGGAAAUGUUGGUCACUGUCAGUGAGUCGCUCUGCAGCUCUUGCAGCCCACCCAGCAUGCCUUUUGCAGCUCAGCUUGUUGCCAAGGCGUUCAGAAAGAGCCGAGUUGGGUGCUAAGUCGUAAAUGAAGCUGCAUGUUUCAGUUGGGACCUUGUGCUGUAUCUUGCUGUUGAUAAUAAAUAUUGAAAGCUUGGCCUAAGGCAGUACAAGACUGUACUGCUUCUCCUUUAGCGUGUUAAGGUUACAGACCACCAAGGGCAAUAUCAGAAUGAAGCUUUGCUUUAGCAAGCUGUGGUGGUAGCCCCGCACGGCCUCCUGCACGAUCCGCCUCCUGCCUUUCCUGUUGGCCAUACCUGACUAUUCCGUCAUUUCGUUGGCUGCCGCCGCCGCCUGUUAUAAGCAUGCCCCGCCUCCGACCUUUCUUCCGGGAGAGCCCCGCCCGCCCCUUCGCCUCUGCGGAGCCAAUUGGCUGCCCUGGCCGUUACUUAAGGCUUGGGCGGAGGGGCAAUUAGGCGAAUGAGGCUACGCGGGGUGUCUGCACCGCGCGUGCGCGGUCCGAGUGAGGUGAGUCGGGGUAACAGGCGUGCGGAGGCGUGGCGCCAUUCGGCGCGACGGACAGCAGCUAGGGUGUGCGUCACGUGACCAGGGGAGCCGGCUGUACGGGGCUGAGGAGACACAGUGCAGCUGCGCGGCUGCUGGAAGGCCUGGGGGGGCCUCUGGGCUGAGCCCGAGCUGGGGCAGUUGCUACCACGCGCUGCCUGUGCCUGAUGCGCCGUGACCUGCGCGCCGCGUCUGCCGCCGUGGCCACCAUCACCGCUGCCACCUGCUGCCUGACAUCCGCGGAGAGCUGUGAGAGGGGAACGCCAGCGGAGUGGUGUUGGCAGCCACAGGGAGCUCCUGGCGUCAUCGUUGCAGUGUUGCUGUCACUGACCUCCAGCACUGUGUCCGAUGGACUUGGGGGUUGUGGUUGUCGCUGAUGGCGUUCUCGCUGUCGCUGCGUUUCAAGUGCUGUGUCCCCUUGAGCUGAUUCUGCCAUCGGCUGUGCCCCUGUGCUCAGUCUUAGGGGAGUGGUUUUGUGAAGGGCACAGUGGGAUUGCUUUCAUAAAGAUUCUGGACCUCGGUUUCCUGCCCAUAUCCAAAUUAGAAUGAAAAACAGUAUUAAGAUUCAUCUUUUGAGAAAGAACCUCUGAGCACUUGUAGCUGGCAGUGCUUUGAUAUUCUAGAUAACUAGAAUAAAGCUGGGUGAUGCUGACUGAUAGCAUCAGUUGUGAGCAUGCUCUACAGAAAGCUUCCUUUUGUGGGAGUGAGGAAACAAAAUGUGUGGGGUUAUUAUGGGGUUACUGGAGUCUAGGAUUCUAGAGUCUGAGGAUUGUAUGAGGAUGCUACGAGGAUACUAGCUCCUGUGAGUGCAAGUUCUGUUAUUUCAGAUCCUGUGAUUGUUUCCCAGUUCUAGAUUCUUUGAUUCUGUGAUGAUUCUGGGCUUCAAAUGUGUGGUGAUUCUGAUUCCUCACUAAAAGUAGAGACUCCCAGAUUUGUAGCUAUGCAAUACAAUUCAUUUCCAUAUCCACCCCUUUGCAUACCGUGUGGCAUAGUUCUGAGUGCCUGAUGCAAACCCAAGCAAAAUCAAUUUCUGUAGGUUAUUAAAAAAAAUAAUAAUGAAAAUAAAAUCUUUGCUGUUGUU